GAUCCUGGCUCAGGAUGAACGCUGGCGGCGUGCUUAACACAUGCAAGUCGAACGGGAAACAUUUUAUUGAAGCUUCGGCAGAUUUAGAUUGUUUCUAGUGGCGGACGGGUGAGUAACGCGUGGGUAACCUGCCUUAUACCGGGGGAUAACAGCCAGAAAUGACUGCUAAUACCGCAUAAGCGCACAGAACCGCAUGGUUCCGUGUGAAAAACUCCGGUGGUAUAAGAUGGACCCGCGUUGGAUUAGCUAGUUGG
rnacentral:rRNA from 1 species